rnacentral:rRNA from 1 species
UUUUAGGAAUAUUUAUAUAAGGUCUGGCCUGCCCAAUGAGUGAUUGAAUGGCUGCGGUAUUUUGACCGUGCUAAGGUAGCAUAAUCAUUUGUCUUUUAAUUGAGGGCUUGUAUGAAAGGUUGGAUGAAGUAAUAACUUUCUUUAAUUUAAUUUAUGAAUUUAAUUUUUAGGUUAAAAAGCUAAAAUGUUUUUAUAGGACGAGAAGACCCUAUAGAUCUUUACAGUUUAUUAGGUAUAAUGAUUUGGUGAAUUAUUUAUUAUUAUUCAAUGAUUUUGUUUGAUUGGGGUGAUUGUGGAAUUCUUUUAACUUCCAUUAUUUUUUUUCAAUGAUUAUUGUUUUAUUUGAUCCAUUAGUAAUGAUUAGAAGAUUAAG